rnacentral:rRNA from 1 species
CACGCAGGCGGUCUCUUAAGUCUUCUGUGAAAGCCCGGGGCUCAACUCCGGAACUGCAGAGGAUACUGGGAGACUAGAGACAGGUAGAGGCUAGCGGAAUUCCUGGUGUAGCGGUGGAAUGCGUAGAUAUCAGGAAGAACACCUGUGGCGAAGGCGGCUAGCUGGGCCUGUUCUGACGCUCAUGUGCGAAAGCGUGGGGAGCAAACA